GUUAACGAGGCGAACCGGGGGAACUGAAACAUCUAAGUACCCCGAGGAAAAGAAAUCAACCGAGAUUCCCCCAGUAGCGGCGAGCGAACGGGGAGCAGCCCAGAGUCUGAAUCAGCUUGUGUGUUAGUGGAACGGUCUGGAAAGUCCGACGGUACAGGGUGAUAGUCCCGUACACCAAAAUGCACAGGCUGUGAACUCGAAGAGUAGGGCGGGACACGUGGUAUCCUGUCUGAAUAUGGGGGGACCAUCCUCCAAGGCUAAAUACUCCUGACUGACCGAUAGUGAACCAGUACCGUGAGGGAAAGGCGAAAAGAACCCCGGCGAGGGGAGUGAAAAAGAACCUGAAACCGUGUACGUACAAGCAGUGGGAGCACCUUCGGGUGUGACUGCGUACCUUUUGUAUAAUGGGUCAGCGACUUAUAUUCUGUAGCAAGGUUAACCGUAUAGGGGAGCCGCAGGGAAACCGAGUCUUAACUGGGCGUUAAGUUGCAGGGUAUAGACCCGAAACCCGGUGAUCUAGCCAUGGGCAGGUUGAAGGUUGGGUAACACUAACUGGAGGACCGAACCGACUAAUGUUGAAAAAUUAGCGGAUGACUUGUGGCUGGGGGUGAAAGGCCAAUCAAACCGGGAGAUAGCUGGUUCUCCCCGAAAGCUAUUUAGGUAGCGCCUCGUGAACUCAUCUUCGGGGGUAGAGCACUGUUUCGGCUAGGGGGUCAUCCCGACUUACCAACCCGAUGCAAACUACGAAUACCGAAGAAUGUUAUCACGGGAGACACACGGCGGGUGCUAACGUCCGUCGUGAAGAGGGAAACAACCCAGACCGCCAGCUAAGGUCCCAAAGUCAUGGUUAAGUGGGAAACGAUGUGGGAAGGCACAGACAGCCAGGAUGUUGGCUUAGAAGCAGCCAUCAUUUAAAGAAAGCGUAAUAGCUCACUGGUCGAGUCGGCCUGCGCGGAAGAUGUAACGGGGCUAAACCAUGCACCGAAGCUGCGGCAGCGACACGAUGUGUUGUUGGGUAGGGGAGCGUUCUGUAAGCCUGCGAAGGUGACCUGUGAGGGUUGCUGGAGGUAUCAGAAGUGCGAAUGCUGACAUAAGUAACGAUAAAGCGGGUGAAAAGCCCGCUCGCCGGAAGACCAAGGGUUCCUGUCCAACGUUAAUCGGGGCAGGGUGAGUCGACCCCUAAGGCGAGGCCGAAAGGCGUAGUCGAUGGGAAACAGGUUAAUAUUCCUGUACUUGGUGUUACUGCGAAGGGGGGACGGAGAAGGCUAUGUUAGCCGGGCGACGGUUGUCCCGGUUUAAGCAUGUAGGCUGGUUAUCCAGGCAAAUCCGGAUAAUCAAGGCUGAGGUGUGAUGACGAGGCACUACGGUGCUGAAGUAACAAAUGCCCUGCUUCCAGGAAAAGCCUCUAAGCAUCAGGUAACAUCAAAUCGUACCCCAAACCGACACAGGUGGUCAGGUAGAGAAUACCAAGGCGCUUGAGAGAACUCGGGUGAAGGAACUAGGCAAAAUGGUGCCGUAACUUCGGGAGAAGGCACGCUGGUGUGUAGGUGAAGCCCCUGCGGGUGGAGCUGAGACCAGUCGAAGAUACCAGCUGGCUGCAACUGUUUAUUAAAAACACAGCACUGUGCAAACACGAAAGUGGACGUAUACGGUGUGACGCCUGCCCGGUGCCGGAAGGUUAAUUGAUGGGGUUAUCCGUAAGGAGAAGCUCUUGAUCGAAGCCCCGGUAAACGGCGGCCGUAACUAUAACGGUCCUAAGGUAGCGAAAUUCCUUGUCGGGUAAGUUCCGACCUGCACGAAUGGCGUAAUGAUGGCCAGGCUGUCUCCACCCGAGACUCAGUGAAAUUGAACUCGCUGUGAAGAUGCAGUGUACCCGCGGCAAGACGGAAAGACCCCGUGAACCUUUACUAUAGCUUGACACUGAACAUUGAGCCUUGAUGUGUAGGAUAGGUGGGAGGCUUUGAAGCGUGGACGCCAGUCUGCGUGGAGCCAACCUUGAAAUACCACCCUUUAAUGUUUGAUGUUCUAACGUUGGCCCCUUAUCGGGGUUGCGGACAGUGUCUGGUGGGUAGUUUGACUGGGGCGGUCUCCUCCCAAAGCGUAACGGAGGAGCACGAAGGUUAGCUAAUCCUGGUCGGACAUCAGGAGGUUAGUGCAAUGGCAUAAGCUAGCUUGACUGCGAGCGUGACGGCGCGAGCAGGUGCGAAAGCAGGUCAUAGUGAUCCGGUGGUUCUGAAUGGAAGGGCCAUCGCUCAACGGAUAAAAGGUACUCCGGGGAUAACAGGCUGAUACCGCCCAAGAGUUCAUAUCGACGGCGGUGUUUGGCACCUCGAUGUCGGCUCAUCACAUCCUGGGGCUGAAGUAGGUCCCAAGGGUAUGGCUGUUCGCCAUUUAAAGUGGUACGCGAGCUGGGUUUAGAACGUCGUGAGACAGUUCGGUCCCUAUCUGCCGUGGGCGCUGGAGAAUUGAGGGGGGCUGCUCCUAGUACGAGAGGACCGGAGUGGACGCAUCACUGGUGUUCGGGUUGUCAUGCCAAUGGCACUGCCCGGUAGCUAAAUGCGGAAGAGAUAAGUGCUGAAAGCAUCUAAGCACGAAACUUGCCCCGAGAUGAGUUCU
rnacentral:rRNA from 1 species